rnacentral:rRNA from 1 species
UGGGGAAUAUUGGGCAAUGGGGGAAACCCUGACCCAGCAACGCCGCGUGAGGGAAGAAGGUUUUCGGAUUGUAAACCUCUGUCCUAAGGGAAGAAGGAAGUGACGGUACUUUAGGAGGAAGCCCCGGCUAACUACGUGCCAGCAGCCGCGGUAAUACGUAGGGGGCGAGCGUUGUCCGGAAUUAUUGGGCGUAAAGGGUGCGUAGGCGGCCAAGCAAGUCAGAUGUGAAAUACCAGGGCUUAACUCUGGGGCUGCAUUUGAAACUGCCUGGCUAGAGUGCAGGAGAGGGAAGCGGAAUUCCUAGUGUAGCGGUGAAAUGCAUAGAUAUUAGGAGGAACACCAGUGGCGAAGGCGGCUUUCUGGACUGUAACUGACGCUGAGGCACGAAAGCGUGGGGAGCAAACAGG